ACAGACAGCCAGGAGGUUGGCUUAGAAGCAGCCACCCUUUAAAGAAAGCGUAAUAGCUCACUGGUCGAGUCGGUCUGCGGGGAAGAUUUAACGGGGCUAAGCAGUGAACCGAAGCUUGGGGUGCAUACUUUGUAUGCGCGGUAGAGGAGCGUUCCGUAAGCCGUUGAAGGUGGAUUGAGAAGUCUGCUGGAGGUAUCGGAAGUGCGAAUGCUGACAUGAGUAACGAUAAUGCGGGUGAAAAACCCGCACGCCGAAAGCCCAAGGUUUCCUUGCGCAACGUUAAUCGGCGCAGGGUGAGUCGGCCCCUAAGGCGAGGACGAAAGUCGUAGUCGAUGGGAAGCAGGUUAAUAUUCCUGCACCUCGCGUAAGUGCGAUGGAGGGACGGAGAAGGUUAGGUGUACCAGGCGUUGGUUGUCCUGGGGAAAGGCGGUAGGUUUGGAUCUUUGGCAAAUCCGGGAUCCUCUAAGACCGAGCACCGAGACGAGCCUUUAAGGCGAAGUCACUGAUACCACGCUUCCAGGAAAAGCUCCUAAGCUUCAGCUUACGCAGACCGUACCGUAAACCGACACAGGUGGGUAGGAUGAGAAUUCUCAGGCGCUUGAGAGAACUCGGGUGAAGGAACUAGGCAACAUGGCACCGUAACUUCGGGAGAAGGUGCACCCUUUUUGGUGGCUCGUGCGAGCUAUAGCUGAAGAGGGUCGCAGUAACCAGGCCGCUGCGACUGUUUAUCAAAAACACAGCACUCUGCAAACACGAAAGUGGACGUAUAGGGUGUGACGCCUGCCCGGUGCUGGAAGGUUAAUUGAUGGGGUCAGCCGCAAGGCGAAGCUCUUGAUCGAAGCCCCAGUAAACGGCGGCCGUAACUAUAACGGUCCUAAGGUAGCGAAAUUCCUUGUCGGGUAAGUUCCGACCUGCACGAAUGGCGUAACGACAGCGGCGCUGUCUCCACCCGAGACUCAGUGAAAUUGAAAUCGCUGUGAAGAUGCAGCGUUCCCGUGGCAAGACGGAAAGACCCCGUGAACCUUUACUAUAGCUUUACACUGAACGUUGAGUUCGUCUGUGUAGGAUAGGUGGGAGGCUAUGAAACCAUGGCGCUAGCUGUGGCGGAGCCAUCCUUGAAAUACCACCCUGUCGUGCUUGACGUUCUAACCUGGGCCCAUUAUCUGGGUCGGGGACCGUGUAUGGUGGGUAGUUUGACUGGGGCGGUCUCCUCCUAAAGAGUAACGGAGGAG
rnacentral:rRNA from 1 species